GGCAGCACAGAGGAGCUUGCUCCUUGGGUGGCGAGUGGCGGACGGGUGAGGAAUACAUCGGAAUCUACUCUGUCGUGGGGGAUAACGUAGGGAAACUUACGCUAAUACCGCAUACGACCUACGGGUGAAAGCAGGGGAUCUUCGGACCUUGCGCGAUUGAAUGAGCCGAUGUCGGAUUAGCUAGUUGGCGGGGUAAAGGCCCACCAAGGCGACGAUCCGUAGCUGGUCUGAGAGGAUGAUCAGCCACACUGGAACUGAGACACGGUCCAGACUCCUACGGGAGGCAGCAGUGGGGAAUAUUGGACAAUGGGCGCAAGCCUGAUCCAGCCAUACCGCGUGGGUGAAGAAGGCCUUCGGGUUGUAAAGCCCUUUUGUUGGGAAAGAAAUCCAGCUGGCUAAUACCCGGUUGGGAUGACGGUACCCAAAGAAUAAGCACCGGCUAACUUCGUGCCAGCAGCCGCGGUAAUACGAAGGGUGCAAGCGUUACUCGGAAUUACUGGGCGUAAAGCGUGCGUAGGUGGUCGUUUAAGUCCGUUGUGAAAGCCCUGGGCUCAACCUGGGAACUGCAGUGGAUACUGGGCGACUAGAGUGUGGUAGAGGGUAGCGGAAUUCCUGGUGUAGCAGUGAAAUGCGUAGAGAUCAGGAGGAACAUCCAUGGCGAAGGCAGCUACCUGGACCAACACUGACACUGAGGCACGAAAAGCGUGGGGAGCAAACAGGAUUAGA
rnacentral:rRNA from 1 species